GUGCCAGCAGCCGCGGUAAAACGUAGGUGGCGAGCGUUAUCCGGAUUCAUUGGGCGUAAAGAGCUUGUAGGCGGUUGCGUAAGUUGGACGUGAAAACUCCGGGCUUAACUUGGAGAGGCCGUUCAAUACUGCGUGACUGGAGGAUGUCAGAGGGGAGUGGAAUUCCUGGUGUAGCAGUGAAAUGCGUAGAUAUCAGGAGGAACACCCGUGGCGAAGGCGGCUCCCUGGGACAUCCCUGACGCUGAGAAGCGAAAGCUAGGGGAGCAAACGGGAUUAGAUACCCCCGUAGUCC
rnacentral:rRNA from 1 species